CACGUAGUUAGCCGAGGCUGAUUCCCCCGGUACCGUCAUCUUCGCCCCGGGGAAAAGCGGUUUACACCCCGAGGGGCGUCAUCCCGCACGCGGCGUUGCUCGGUCAGGCUUGCGCCCAUUGCCGAAAAUCCCUCGCUGCUGCCACCCGUAGGUGUGGGGGCCGUGUCUCAGUCCCCCCUGUGGCUGGUCGUCCUCUCAGACCAGCGACCGAUCGUCGCCUCGGUGGCCGUCACCCCGCCGACUAGCUAAUCGGGCGCAAUCCCCUCCGCGAGCGCCCCGAAGGGCUUUCCCCGAACACCCCACCGGCAUCCGGACGUAUGCGGUAACAGCCCCGGUUUCCCGGGGUUGGCCCCCACUCGCGGCAGGUCGAUCACGUGCUCCUCACCCGUCCGCCGCUGACCACCCCCGAAAGGACUGACCCGCCCGACUUGCAUGCGUUAGGCACGCCGCCAGCGUUGUUCCUGAGCCAGGAUCAAACUCU
rnacentral:rRNA from 1 species